AUUGAACGCUGGCGGCAGGCCUAACACAUGCAAGUCGAACGGUAACAGAAAGCAGCUUGCUGCUUUGCUGACGAGUGGCGGACGGGUGAGUAAUGUCUGGGAAACUGCCUGAUGGAGGGGGAUAACUACUGGAAACGGUAGCUAAUACCGCAUAACGUCGCAAGACCAAAGAGGGGGACCUUCGGGCCUCUUGCCAUCGGAUGUGCCCAGAUGGGAUUAGCUAGUAGGUGGGGUAAAGGCUCACCUAGGCGACGAUCCCUAGCUGGUCUGAGAGGAUGACCAGCCACACUGGAACUGAGACACGGUCCAGACUCCUACGGGAGGCAGCAGUGGGGAAUAUUGCACAAUGGGCGCAAGCCUGAUGCAGCCAUGCCGCGUGUAUGAAGAAGGCCUUCGGGUUGUAAAGUACUUUCAGCGGGGAGGAAGGGAGUAAAGUUAAUACCUUUGCUCAUUGACGUUACCCGCAGAAGAAGCACCGGCUAACUCCGUGCCAGCAGCCGCGGUAAUACGGAGGGUGCAAGCGUUAAUCGGAAUUACUGGGCGUAAAGCGCACGCAGGCGGUUUGUUAAGUCAGAUGUGAAAUCCCCGGGCUCAACCUGGGAACUGCAUCUGAUACUGGCAAGCUUGAGUCUCGUAGAGGGGGGUAGAAUUCCAGGUGUAGCGGUGAAAUGCGUAGAGAUCUGGAGGAAUACCGGUGGCGAAGGCGGCCCCCUGGACGAAGACUGACGCUCAGUGCGAAAGCGUGGGGAGCAAACAGG
rnacentral:rRNA from 1 species